AGAAACCUAAAGAAACAGAGAGACCUGUGAUUUUUCUGUGCUUAGGUUUGAUGAAGAGUGGAUGGUUUUGGAGAAAUCAGAUUGGAGGGUGAAAAGGGUCUGAUCGAAUGGGGAAACCCUGGGGGACUGAGCAAGGCCUGUUUGCUCAGGCUCCUCCCUGUGACCCUGGUGCCUUCAGAGCAGGGGUAUAAAGGGAGGAAGAGUGUCGAGUCUCGUGCCAUGAACAGAUUCCAUUUCUGCAGAGGACAGUGUGCAUGGGGACACCCUCUGAGGCUUUGGAGCCACCCGGGAAGGAGGCUGGCUGCUCACAGGCCUCCACCGGCCUCCUGGUGCAUGUUCUUGGUGGGUGAGCAUGCCCUCACCUACACGGAUACUCCAGGAUCCCAGCCACUGCUGUCAGGCCAGAAGGAGCAGAGGCCAGCAUCAGCCUCCAGCCACCGACAAGACCAGGCUAGCUUUGCUGGGUCACCCCCUGGGAGAGAAUUUUAGACAACUUCUGGAAGCACUUUUGAUAAUUCUCCCCCUUCAUGACUGCAUUGAUUGAUCAUCUCUGAGCAGAGGCACGCCUGGCACGCUGCACCCAGCGCAGUGAGUCUCGGAAGGCAAAGGACCUUGUGAGAGGGAAACCUUCUCUCAUCUAACGUUACCGACUCUGCACCUUUCAGGCUCUGAAGCUGCCCGCACAGUAGGAUCACAGGUCGGGGAUGCCUUCAGAUGAAGGCACAAAUAACCGACGUUAGGUCCUUUCCUGAGAGCAGAUGGGAUGGGGGAAGGGUGAGGUGCUUGUGCUUGUGGGGAGAGACCUGGCAGGCCUGUAAGCUGGGCUGCUUUUGUCCUGGGAAAUGGUUUCCCCCGGCUGCUUUCCCCAGGCAGGCGGGAGCCACCUGGGGGCUGUCCUUGACUCUUGAGCUGGGCCGAGCGCUCCGAGAUCUUGCCAUUCCUUCCGUUUGUUCUCUGCACUCUCCUUCCCUGGGAGCAGCUCAUGAACUGAGGCAGAGGUGGCUUCUCUCAUCAACUCCAGGGCAUGGCUAUUUACUUAGUUAAGGGGUUAGAAUGCUAGAAAAACAACUCUCUUACCUGAGUGUAAUCUGUAAAA